UCUGCACAUUGUUAGAGCUUGGAGUUGAGGCUUCUGGCUGGCCGAUGAACUCACAAGUGUAGGUAGUGUGCUACAUGAGGGGCAAGUUUUUCGCUAACACCACAAGGGUCUCUGGCCCAAUGAGUGGAGUUUGAUAGUAAUUCUUGCUACAAGU
ensembl:snoRNA SNORA62 Small nucleolar RNA SNORA62/SNORA6 family